UACGUAGGGUGCAAGCGUUAUCCGGAAUUAUUGGGCGUAAAGAGCUCGUAGGCGGUUUGUCACGUCUGCUGUGAAAACUGGAGGCUCAACCUCCAGCCUGCAGUGGGUACGGGCAGACUAGAGUGCGGUAGGGGAGAUUGGAAUUCCUGGUGUAGCGGUGGAAUGCGCAGAUAUCAGGAGGAACACCAGUGGCGAAGGCGGCUCUCUGGGCCCUACCUGACGCUGAGACGCGAAAGCGUGGGGAGCGAACCGG
rnacentral:rRNA from 1 species